AGAGAGAGACAUGCGCGCAUAUCAAUAAGCGGAGGAAAAGAAACUAACAAGGAUUCCCUUAGUAACGGCGAGUGAAGCGGGAAGAGCUCAAAUUUGAAAUCUUCAAGGUUGUACCUUGACGAAUUGUAGUUUAAAGAAGUGUUUUCUGCUGAAGUUUUGGUAAAAGUUCUUUGGAAUAGGACAUCAUAGAGGGUGAGAAUCCCGUAUUUGACCAUUAUUUUCAGCUUUGUGAUACACUUUCGAAGAGUCGGAUUGUUUGGGAAUGCAGUCCAAAAUGGGUGGUAAAUUUCAUCUAAAGCUAAAUAUUGGCGAGAGACCGAUAGCGAACAAGUACCGUGAGGGAAAGAUGAAAAGAACUUUGAAAAGAGAGUUAAACAGUACGUGAAAUUGUCAAAAGGGAAGCGUUUGACACCAGUGUUGAUUUUCUCGAAAAUCAAUUAAAAAUGGCUCGAUUUUGUAUUGCUUGAGACCUUAAAAGCUCACUGUACAUUUUUCGUGUCUUUUUUAAUGCACUUUUCGUUUAACAAGUCAACAUCAGUUUCUUUUGUCGUAAAAGGGUCAUUGGAAGGUGGCUUUCUUUUCGGAGAAAGUGUUUAUAGCCUUUGGCCUCUGCAAUCGGAGAGACUGAGGUCUGCAGCGUAGACUCUUCGGGGUUAGAUACAUUUGUGCUAAGUUAUAGCUUUUUAUAGACAACUUGUUGACUAUAAUUAGUCUUGUAGCUUACUCGCUUAUGCUAUUUUACCUACGCUUAGGAUGUUGAGUCGUAGAGCACGCAG
rnacentral:rRNA from 1 species